AGGCUGCAGAGGAGAUGCUCGCCAUAAGGGCCUCUGAACCACAACCGGGCCUUGACACCACACCCAGGAGAUGUGGAAACUAAACCUCAGAGGAGUAAUUUUCCCAUGAUGAGAAAGUCAGCAUGAGAUCUUCAAAAGCCUUCCAGUCCAACUCAGAAGUGGCCCAGAGGGACAGUGGUGAAGAAGAAUCCUCCAGGAGUCAGAACUCGGGCAGUACACCCUUGGCCAAGGGAGAAUUAGAAGCCUGGAGC